AAAUUGAAGAGUUUGAUCAUGGCUCAGAUUGAACGCUGGCGGCAGGCCUAACACAUGCAAGUCGAGCGGUAGCACAAGAGAGCUUGCUCUCUGGGUGACGAGCGGCGGACGGGUGAGUAAUGUCUGGGAAACUGCCUGAUGGAGGGGGAUAACUACUGGAAACGGUAGCUAAUACCGCAUGACGUC
rnacentral:rRNA from 1 species